rnacentral:rRNA from 1 species
UACGGGGGGGGCAAGCGUUGUUCGGAAUUACUGGGCGUAAAGGGCUCGUAGGCGGCCAACUAAGUCGGAUGUGAAAUCCCCAGGCUUAACCUGGGAACUGCAUCCGAUACUGGUUGGCUUGAAUCCGGGAGAGGGAUGCAGAAUUCCAGGUGUAGCGGUGAAAUGCGUAGAUAUCUGGAGGAAUACCGGUGGCGAAGGCGGCAUCCUGGACCGGCAUUGACGCUGAUGAGCGAAAGCUAGGGGAGCAAACGGG